rnacentral:lncRNA from 1 species
CCAAACCCUUUGGGAUCCAGCCCCCAGGGGAUCCCAUUUGGGAUUUUGGGUCCCCCCCCCAAUUCCCAAGAAAACGCAACCCAACCUCAGCCCAAAAUGGGGCGAAAUCCUUCAAAUCCCCCCCGUUCCCACCCCGGACCCCAAAAAAGGGAACUCAGCAUCCCAAAUAGAAAUGGGGUCGAGGCACUCCGUGGGAUCCCUUUUGUCCCAGACCUCCCCAGCUGAUUUUGGGGUGGAUUUCCCAUUUUUGUGUUAUUUCGGUGGGAAGAAGAAACCUUGGGGAAACGAAGCCCUUUUGGGGUGCCGAUUUUUUUUUGGGGUGGGAGCCACGUCCACCCUUGGCUUGGCUCCGACCCCAUGGCAAUGGGGUUUUUUUGGGGGGGAUGCCAACCGCUCCAUCCCAUUGCUCCCAGUCCUCCCAGUCCGGACCAGUGCUGGGGCUGGAUCCUGCAAUGGGAUCUCUCUCCGUUUUAUGGGAUGGAGGACGGGGGCCGGGUCCAUCCCCACGUCUUGGUUUCCCCGCGCUGCCUGGUGCGGGAUGCAGGAAAAGAGGACGCAAAAAAAAGUAAAAAAAAAGGAGAAAAGGGGAAAAACGAAGACAAAAAUCCNNNNNNNNNNUUUUUUUUUUUCCCCGGACCAUGCAGAAAUGCAAACACCUGCACCCGAUUAUUUGUCUUUUAAACAGAAAAAAAACAACAAAAAACAGGUGCCGACGUCGCAUCUUUUCCAAAAAAGGCGACAAAAAACCCCGGGGCCCCGCUGCUGCCGGCUAUGGGGUCGGCCCCACACGGGGUGGGGAGAGGGUCUCACAUCGCAUCCGGGUUGAAUUUUGGGAGAAAAGUGGGGUUUUGGGGUGUUUAUGGCCCCAGGUCCGGCCCCAAAUCCCUCCUCCCGCCCCAGCUCUGCGUUUCCAGACCCCGAUCCCAUUCCCUAGCCCCAAAUUUUCCCUCUUCAGACCCCGCUGCCCUUCUGCUGCUCCCAAACCCAGCCUCAAGCCCCUUCCUCCAACCUCCAGUUCUCCGCAGCCCCAAAUCCCCUUUUCCAGCCCCAAAUCCUCUUCUCCAUCCCAAAGCCCAUGUCUCCAGCCCCUAGUCCUGUUCUCCAGCCCCUAAUCCUCUUCUCCAGCCCCAAAUUCUCUUCUCUGCCCCCCAAAUCCCUUCUUCAGCCCCAAACCCCCUUCUCAAGCCCCAGAUAUCUUUCUCCAGCCCCAAAAUCCCUUCUCAAGCCUCAAAUCCCCCUUUCCAGACCCUAAUCUCAUUCUCCAGCCCCAAAUCUCCUCCUCCAGCCCCUAUUCAAGUUCUCCAGCCCCAAAUCCUCUUCUUCAGCCCCAAAUCCCCUCCUCCAACCCCAUAUCUCAUUCUCCAGCCCCAAAUCUCCUCCUCCAGCCCCUAUUCAAGUUCUUCAGCCCCAAAUCCCCCUCUCCAGCCCCAAAUCCCUUCCUCCAGCCCCAUAUCUCCUUCUCCAGCCCCAAAUCUCCUCCUCCAGACCCUAUUCAAGUUCUCCAGCCCCAAAUCCC